UACGUAGGCAGCAAGCGUUGUUCGGAAUUACUGGGCGUAAAGCGCGUGUAGGCGGUGUGGUAAGUCGGAUGUGAAAGCCCCGGGCUCAACCCGGGAAGUGCACUCGAUACUGCCACGCUAGAGUAUCGGAGAGGUUGGUGGAAUUCUCGGUGUAGAGGUGAAAUUCGUAGAUAUCGAGAGGAACACCGGUGGCGAAGGCGGCCAACUGGACGAAUACUGACGCUGAGACUCGAAAGCGUGGGGAGCAAACAGG
rnacentral:rRNA from 1 species